CCUAACUAGCAAAGGAUAUGAACUAAAUGUACAAAUUAUCUAUAACUGGGCUAAUAACUCACUAACUAACAAAGGAUAUGAACUAAAUGUACAAAUGAUCUAUAACUGGGCUGAUAACUCACUAACUAGCAAAAGAUAUGAACAAAAUGUACACAUGAUCUAUAACUGGGCUGAUAACUCACUAACUAGCAAAAGAUAUGAACAAAAUGUACAAAUGAUCUAUCAUUCAAAACUAGCAGUAUUUCUCUUGAUUCGUCAUUCUGGAUAGAGGUAUAUUUUCUGAGCCAUUCUCAUACCAUGGCAGCCUUGUUCUGUCUAGAGAGAGAUUGUAAUGAACAUCUAGUCCAGGGGUUCCCAGACCUUUUUCAUUCAGGCCUUCCUUCCAGGAUUGAUGCACUACCCAAGUUCUAAAUUGCACCUUGUGCAUUCUACUAUUACAACAUUCAAGAGUAUAUUGAAAUCUGGAGUAUAUUGAAGUUGCCACAGUUUGGCAACCACUGAUCCAGUCAGAUUCUGGCUAUGCUACUUUAAAAACAUUUGGAAAACGCUGGGCCAAUUGUGCACAACCCUAUGGGACUCCCAAUCACGUCCAGAUGUUUACUUUUUACCUUUAUUUAACUAGGCAAGUCAGUUAAGAACAAUUUCUUAUUUUCAAUGACAGCCUGCCUGUUCAAGGGCGGAACGACAGUGUACCUUGUCAGCUAUGGGAUUUGAACUUGCAACAUUCCGGUUAUUAGUCCAACGCUCUAACCACUAGGCUACCCUGCCGCACCAAAUGUGCUUCAGCCUGGAUUCAAACAAGGGACUGUAGUGACGCCUUUUGCACUGAGAUCCAGUGCCUUAAAAAUAUUGCAAGAAUAAGAUUGAAUCAUUAUAAUAUGCAUGGAGCCUAUUCUAAAAAAAAAGUUAGGACUUUAAUAGAAUGAAUGACUGACACGGAUUCAUUUCAUUGUCUAUUUCAGUUUUUCACGAGGGAGUGUUUGAAUGGUCCACUUAGCUCAACACUCAAGGCGGCCUGUGAACGGAAACUCCAUAUAUGGUCCUAACGGUCUCCUCUCUGAUUGGUUCUCUGGCUGCAGCGACAGGUCUGUUGCUUGAGCAGUAUUUGUCAAGUUUAGGCAAUAUGUAAUAAUUAUAAUCACAGCUUUAAUCUCACAAAUAAUUACAGAGAGACGUCUCUGUAGCAGGUGUGUAUAGUUGGCAAACCCUCAAGAAAUCUAUUUUCAAUGUCCUUUCUAUUUAAACAUGGACCGAUGUCUAUCUGUAACACACGUAUGGUUAUGCUAUGAGUGGAUGCAGAAACCCCGCCUGCUAUUCAGAUAUCGACAACAAUACAAGUGUCAUUAAAAUUAUUAAAACAAAUAGCAGGUGUAUUAAAUAUUAGAAGACUAGAUUCUGUGUGGAUAGUGUCCUUCACAAGAGUGCUGUGUUUUGGAGGACAUUUAAGGUCGGAGGUGUAUAUGGAAUGAUACGAUUGGCAGACGAUGUCAUUCGACAUGUUUUCCAUAGGAACAGCCUAGAGAUAUAGGCUAUAUAUAGCGUGGUACAUAUGUGUUCAGUAGUGUAUGAUCUGAAACGUGGCCAUGUGUGUAUUACGAAACAAUGAUUUUUUUUUUAUUUAUUACAAAAGGAACGUAGGCUUUAACGUGCCUAAUGCAAAUGCUGCAUCCUGUAGGUUGCUAUUUGAUGUGACGUAGAUCAUUAAUACGUUGGUGGUGGUUACAAUGUAGGUAUCUAUUUCUUGAAGAGGGGUGCUUAAUAUGUACACAUUUGGUCAUAUUUUAAUAGUGGGCCUAAUUAAUUUGGAUAACAGUUAGACUGCUCUCAACUCUCCGUUAAAAUGUAUAGUUAAUAUUGCUGCUCCGUUGAUAAAACAAGCCUGUUGAUUCUACCCAACAACACCCUUCUCUCUUUGUGGAAUGGUACGUUCUCUCCACACAGAUUUCAUUCAUAAAAUUCCAGCUCACUAUAAAAGGAGGCGCGCUCCACUAUCUGCACCAACUACCAUUCACGUGAAAGAACCCAGAAAAAGUGAUGCACAGAGGUGAUUGAACAGCAGCGCGGUCGAUAAUAGCCUAUAAUAUAGGAGGAAUAGUGAUUUGUUUUUAUGCUUUAUUGAUACACAUCAUCAUGUAUCCAGACUCGAGCCCAAACUACAAUGUCUCGAGCUCGUCCGGCAGCAGCAGCAGCAGCAGCAGCAGCAGUUUAGCAUCGCCUACCGGAGACAUACCCGCGUGCAGUCAGCGGUCUCCAAGCUCACUCACGAGCGCAUCAUCAGUAGACAGCAGCACGUCUCAGAAUGUCUGCGGUGAAACAGACUGUCCACGGCAGUCUGCCUUUGUUCCUACAGUGACUGCGAUCUCAGCCUUCUCGGAUCUGCAGUGGAUGGUCCAACCGACCACCGUCAUCUCAGCAUCUGCCUCCCCCUCCUCCCCUUCCAGCAACGCAAAGCCGACAAGAGCUCAUGGCGCAACCCGGUCAUCUUCAAGAGCGCGAGGGAACACGGAACAAUCCACCAGCGCGAGAGGGAAAAAACAGGCGACAUCAGAAGAGGACGAGAGGAGGAAGAUCAGGAGAGAGAGGAAUAAAGUCGCAGCAGCCAAGUGUCGCAACAGACGGAGGGAGCUCACCGACACCCUGCAAGCCGAAACUGAUCAGCUUGAAGAGGACAAAGAGGCCUUGCAGACAGAGAUAGCCCACCUCCUGAAAGAGAAAGAGAGUCUGGAACAGAUCCUAUCCGCCCACCAGCCAGCCUGCAAACUAGCCGCCGCUGAAGACAACAACGUGGACGAAGACAUCGACGAAGACAUCGACGAAGACAUCGACCGCAUGCUCCAGGACCCUCCGGAUUCCCCCCAGCUGCUCUCCAUCUUGGAGAAUGAAGACAAACUCCAACUCCCAGAGGGAAAUGCAACACUAGUGCCUGUGUCCGACACUCCUUCGCUUCAGGACAUGGAAACUGUUGUGGUUCCCUCGAACGUCUCCAUCUCUGCGUCGGCCAUCUUGGGUAACUCCAACAUCCUGCUGUGCUCCAGCGCUGAGGAAGAACCCAUGGACGACCUAAACUUCGACCAGGAUGACUUAGACAACCUGGUCCCUAGCCUGGAACUCAACAUGGCUGUGGCCCCUGAGACUGCCCCGUCCGUUCCCGACAUCGACCUCCUCGGAGGCCCCUUCUGCCUCUCAGACUGGGAGACCCUGUACAAGUCGGUGGCCAACAAUCUGGAGCCCCUCUGCACCCCUACGAUGAUGACUUCCAGUGACAGUCCUACAUGUAGCAGUUACCGCUCUGUGUUUAGUUUGAAUUACACAGAGAUAGACUCUUUGGCGGGGACAGGAGUUGCAACUCCAGCUCGGAGACCCUCAAAUGAGGUGUUGGUGGUAGAUCUGAUUUGAUGAACGGUAAACUGAACUCUCCCACACUGUUGACCUUGUGACACUGUUAUGGGACUGGUGGGACAUAUACAUAUAAGGCUAGUUCCACUCACAGAUUGAGCCCUAGUCUUCGAUUUAAAAAAAAGCAGUGUUCAAUGAAGAUUCUCCUUUGAAAGUGCCUCUUUAUAGUCCAGGACGAGGCUUAAUCUGCGUCUGAGAAACACGGCCCUGGAGGUUGAUAUUGAACCAAUAAGCUAUGGUCUAUUCAUCUACCCCCCCACCCUGAGGUUGAUAUUGAACCAAUAAGCUAUGGUCUAUUCAUCUACCCCCCCACCCUGAUGUUGAUAUUGAACCAAUAAGCUAUGGUCUAUUCAUCUACCCCCACCCCUGAUGUUGAUAUUGAACCAAUAAGCUAUGGUCUAUUCAUCUACCCCCCACCCCUGAGGCUGAUAUUGAACCAAUAAGCUAUGGUCUAUUCAUCUACCCCCCCCCCCU